CCCGCGCCGUAUUAGCUAGUUGGUGGGGUAACGGCCUACCAAGGCGACGAUACGUAGCCGACCUGAGAGGGUGAUCGGCCACACUGGAACUGAGACACGGUCCAGACUCCUACGGGAGGCAGCAGUAGGGAAUCUUCCGCAAUGGGCGAAAGCCUGACGGAGCAACGCCGCGUGAGUGAUGAAGGUCUUCGGAUCGUAAAGCUCUGUUGUUAGGGAAGAACAAAUGUGUAAGUAACUGUGCACAUCUUGACGGUACCUAACCAGAAAGCCACGGCUAACUACGUGCCAGCAGCCGCGGUAAUACGUAGGUGGCAAGCGUUAUCCGGAAUUAUUGGGCGUAAAGCGCGCGUAGGCGGUUUUUUAAGUCUGAUGUGAAAGCCCACGGCUCAACCGUGGAGGGUCAUUGGAAACUGGAAAACUUGAGUGCAGAAGAGGAAAGUGGAAUUCCAUGUGUAGCGGUGAAAUGCGCAGAGAUAUGGAGGAACACCAGUGGCGAAGGCGGCUUUCUGGUCUGCAACUGACGCUGAUGUGCGAAAGCGUGGGGAUCAAACAGGAUUAGAUACCCUGGUAGUCCACGCCGUAAACGAUGAGUGCUAAGUGUUAGGGGGUUUCCGCCCCUUAGUGCUGCAGCUAACGCAUUAAGCACUCCGCCUGGGGAGUACGGUCGCAAGACUGAAACUCAAAGGAAUUGACGGGGACCCGCACAAGCGGUGGAGCAUGUGGUUUAAUUCGAAGCAACGCGAAGAACCUUACCAAAUCUUGACAUCCUUUGACCGCUCUAGAGAUAGAGUUUUCCUCUUCGGAGGACAAAGUGACAGGUGGUGCAUGGUUGUCGUCAGCUCGUGUCGUGAGAUGUUGGGUUAAGUCCCGCAACGAGCGCAACCCUUGAACUUAGUUGCCAUCAUUCAGUUGGGCACUCUAAGUUGACUGCCGGUGACAAACCGGAGGAAGGUGGGGAUGACGUCAAAUCAUCAUGCCCCUUAUGAUUUGGGCUACACACGUGCUACAAUGGACAAUACAAAGGGCAGCGAAACCGCGAGGUCAAGCAAAUCCCAUAAAGUUGUUCUCAGUUCGGAUUGUAGUCUGCAACUCGACUACAUGAAGCUGGAAUCGCUAGUAAUCGUAGAUCAGCAUGCUACGGUGAAUACGUUCCCGGGUCUUGUACACACCGCCCGUCACACCACGAGAGUUUGUAACACCCGAAGCCGGUGGAGUAACCAUUUUGGAGCUAGCCGUCGAAGGUGGGACAAAUGAUUGGGGUGAAGUCGUAACAAGGUAGCCGUAUCGGAAGGUGCGGCUGGAUCACCUCCUUU
rnacentral:rRNA from 1 species